UACGUAGGUCGCAAGCGUUGUCCGGAUUUACUGGGCGUAAAGGGCGCGUAGGCGGUCAGCACAAGUCAGUUGUGAAAUCUCCGGGCUUAACUCGGAAAGGUCAACUGAUACUGUGCGACUAGAGUGCGGAAGGGGCAACUGGAAUUCUCGGUGUAGCGGUGAAAUGCGUAGAUAUCGAGAGGAACACCUGCGGCGAAGGCGGGUUGCUGGGCCGACACUGACGCUGAUGCGCGAAAGCCAGGGGAGCGAACGGG
rnacentral:rRNA from 1 species